AUUGAACGCUGGCGGCAUGCCUUACACAUGCAAGUCGAACGGCAGCACGGGAGCAAUCCUGGUGGCGAGUGGCGAACGGGUGAGUAAUAUAUCGGAACGUGCCCAGUCGUGGGGAUAACGUAGCGAAAGCUACGCUAAUACCGCAUACGAUCUAUGGAUGAAAGCGGGGGAUCGCAAGACCUCGCGCGAUUGGAGCGGCCGAUAUCAGAUUAGGUAGUUGGUGAGGUAAAGGCUCACCAAGCCGACGAUCUGUAGCUGGUCUGAGAGGACGACCAGCCACACUGGGACUGAGACACGGCCCAGACUCUACGGAGGCAGCAGUGGGGAAUUUUGGACAAUGGGCGCAAGCCUGAUCCAGCAAUGCCGCGUGCAGGAUGAAGGCCUCGG
rnacentral:rRNA from 1 species